AUGCUUCGAAAUGUGAAGGAGCCCGAGGCCGGACAAGUGGCAGACAAGAUUGUGUCAUCUUUAAAAUACCGUGCUUUAAGCACUCUAGCACAUAGAGAGGAUGGGACUUGUAGAAUGCGCCAUGCUUGCUUCGCCAACAAAGCUUGAUAUGGCGUCGAGGUACCAGCGAAAGGGGCAGGACCGGAGCAUUCGCCUCUAGGGGCUGGGCUCACGCCCGCGGCUGCACUGUCCUCGGCGGUGCAUGCGGCAGCAUCAUCUGCCGCUUCCGGAGAUGAAGAAGAAGAUAAUGACGAUCAACUCGUGGUUGCAACAAAGACCACCAAUCAUUCUGGUCGAAGAGGGGCAUUUUUUGAGCCUCCUACACCGGAGGACAAUGUUAAGGCGAAGCUAGCUGAAUGGAUAGAGGAUGUUGCACAACGCAGCACUGCUGAGAAGAAAUCAAUACAAUCCAUCGCCAUUGUGGCACCAGAUGAGCAAGAUACCUGCGCUAUUGCAGAUGUUGCUCGGAAAAUGUGGGGAGAACAUGGCACGCACAGUGUCUUGGUCGACAUCCCAGCAGUGCACUUCUAUUCUGAAUUGCUUCGAACCAAGGACGUUCUCUACUAUAUACUGCGGGAGCUGCAGUCUGUUCCACUUCCAUCCCAGCAGGACAAAAAGGAUAUUAACUCGAAAAAAUGGGUGCUGAUUGAUGAAAUCACCAAAGAUAUUGAAGGAAUGAAGGUUGGCAAAAAGAUUUCAGAAAUCAUGAAAACUGUUGAACAAAUGAAGGGCAGUCAGUGGCAGCUGGACCUGGAACAUGACAACCGGGACUUGCUGGGCCUGCUGGAAUCCUCUAAGGAUGAACCCUUAGGAGUAAUCCUCCGAGCGUUGUGUGUUCUCAAACACAAGCCAGCUGACGGUGUACCUCUUGCUAUCAAACAUGAACAAGAAAAGAAGCAAGCAACACCUUCAGAGAGGAAGAAAGCCUCGCACGAAGAUAUCAUCAAGGGAACAGCCAAGAAGCUUAAAGAGCAUAUGGAACAAAAUAGAGAUGACAAACAAAAACCUAAUAAUGGGAAUAUGGAACAAAAUACAGAUGAAGAACGGCAGCCUAAGCAGCAUAUGGGGAAAAAUGCAGAUCAAAAACAGCAGCCCAAAGAGCGUAGGGGAGAAGAAGCACGCGCAGAGCCAAUUCUUCUCGAUCAAGCCCAUUAUGAACACAUCCUAAGGAAGUUGUUCCCAGAGGCCAGCACGCAGCCCCUCCAGAUCCGUGAGCAAGAUUCGAAGCAAGCCACUGCCGUCACCGCCACUAGCACUAUUAGUGCAUUCAUCGAGGACCUAGUUAAUGAAAUGAUUCAUAAGGUCAUAAAAGAGCUGCAGGAAAACAGAUCCGUGACAGAACCAGGCACAGCUGAGAAACAGGAUGUCAAAUCUGUGAAGGAACCAGAUAGAGCUGCUGGUAAAAAGGAUUGUAUCCCGGAUUCUCUUAUUGAAGAAAUAAUCUACAUGUUUUGGGAAAUCGAGUGGAUGAUGGAAGAGCAGAUCAAGAUCAAAAGGAUCAUGGACAAAAUUAAUGAUUGUUUGAAGAGCCGAGAUGGUCAGAUUCUGGUUAUCCUAAAACUGGAUAAUGACUAUGUGUCUGGGUGGACGGAGUUGAGAAAUGCUUUCAGCUUGAUGGGUCGCAUAGCCGGUGUACUGUUGUUGAACACAACAAUAAAUGCUGAUCGAGCCAAACAAUAUUGCUGCCCGGAGCGGGAGCCCAUAGACUAUUCUCUUCUUGGCCUCUACCAUGAUACUGCACUCGAGCUUACAAAGAAGCACAUGAUUGAAGAUAGCCCGCGGAUUUUUCUUGACAUCUUGGGCGAGUGUAAGCAACAGGAAUUCUGCAUGAAGAUCUUCGUUCAUGCUUUGAACGCCAACCCCAAGAGAAGCAAGGAAGAGCUAAUCAAGUUGCACACAACCCUGCAGCAGGUUCCAGAUGACUCGUUAGAAAAAAUUGCUAAUAAGAUGCUCAAGUUCUCUUAUAGUGAUCUUCCUAAUGAAUACAAGUCCUGCUUGCUGUACCUAGCUAUUUUUCCUCGGCGGCAACGCAUCAGGCGGUCAACCUUAAUAGGACGUUGGGUUGUAGAAGGGCUGAUUACGAAGGAAGACUGGGCCAGUUCUGUGCGUCGUGCCAAUCGAUGUUUUGAUGCGCUGAUCAAUCGAUGGCUUAUUUAUGCUGCUGAUAUUGGUGCUACAGGAAAGAUAAAGAGUUGUGUGAUUGGUGAUCUAGUUCAUGCAUUCAUUACCAGGAUUGCUAGAAAACGGCGGAUUGUGGAAACACGCCUGUCACAUCACUUGGCUCUCCGCUUCUCCAUUUUCAAUGACCUUCGACUCCGUGGCUCAGAUAAAAUAGACAAAUUCUUUGAUAAGCUCUAUGAAGAAUCAUCUCGAGUGUCCCUGAUCAAGGUGCUAGAUCUUGAAGGUUGCCAAUGCUUUAGAGGGAAGAACCAAAGCUACCUCAGAGACAUAUGUAGCAAGAUGUUACUACUCAAGUAUCUGAGCCUAAGGGGAACAGAUGUUACCCAUCUACCCACUGAAAUCAACAACCUCCGUGAGCUGGAAGUAUUGGAUAUCAGAGAGACCAAUGUACCUCCAUCUGCAACAGUAAAUCUCUUACUCCUGAAGUUGAAGCGUUUGUUGGCUGGUCGCAUUGUUCUGAGUUCAGGGGCAAGUAGUACUGAAUUAUCUAGUGUUGAGAUUCCUGAGAAGGUCGAAAAAAUGGUAAACAUGGAGGUAUUGUCCAAUGUCAAGGCAAGAAAAAGAAGAGAUUUGAAAGAUAUUGGAAAGUUGUGGCAGCUGAGGAAGCUUGGUGUGGUUAUCGAAAACAAGGAGCCACACCUCAGGAAUUUUCUUCGAGCUAUUAGUGAUCUGCAUGAGUGCCUCAAGUCUCUGUCAAUCACUCUUCCCAGUACAGAGGACAGCAAAGUCUUCACAUCGUGGGUUCUUGAGCACUAUAAAAACACUCCCAAGCUUCUUGAGAGCCUAAGCAUUUCUGGAACCACACAAACAGUGCAACUUCUUCAAUUGUUCACCAGAGAUAGUGACCAGCUCCAACUUGACAAGGUAACUCUAUCUGGUACCAAGCUGAGGAAGGCUGAUCUGAAGGUCCUUGCCAGUCUGCCCAAAUUAGCAUGUCUCAGGCUGCGAGACAAGGCAUACAUCGAUAGUGACCUCACCUUCAUCAAUGGUGAAUUCAUAAAUCUCAAGUGCUUUCUUAUUGAGGGUUCCAACAUAAUUGUCCUCAACUUAGGUGGGGCACAUAAACUCGAGAAGAUCAUUCUGUGCUCCACCGAUGGCCUACUGUCAGUUUGUGGAGUCGAAGACCUUCCGGAACUAAAGGAGGUUGAGUUGAAGAACAUCAAUAAGCUUUCACUGUUUGAGAAGGCCAAAAACAUCUCCAAGGUGACUCUGUGUCAUACCAUUCUUUGUCAAGAAGAGCUGGAGAUUCUUGCCAAGAUACCUAACAUGCGCAACCUAGUACUGAAGGAGAUAUCUUAUGUACAGAGCCAACACAUCUUCUACGAACACGACUUCCCAAGGCUCAAACUUCUUGUCAUCGAAUUUUCUGCCAUCACCAAUAUCGUCUUUGCUAGCCAAUCUGCUACUAAUCUCGAGAGAAUAAUCUGGUUCUACACCAAGGGUACACUCUCCGGCAUUGACAACCUUCCAAAACUGAAGGAGCUCGAGUUCAAUGGUGAUUUUGUCCCCGAUCUGGUGAAAGAAGCAUUGAAAAGAAAUGACAACAAACCCAAGCUUAUACACAACAAACCAGAAAACCAACACCAAGAAGCUGGUAACAUACCAGAAAAGGAAGAUUCUCACAGAUUCCCAUUAUUCUGGAAGAGAGAGGAUUGA
rnacentral:rRNA from 1 species